AUAAUUAAAUAUAUUAAACCCUAGACAGUAGGUGGCAAGUCCACAAUUCCUACCGAGGUUAUAUAAAAAGAAUAGAGCGGAAAUGUUUCUUAUCUUAGAUUAUAACCUUUGGUUGUCUAGAUAAGAAAUUUUUAUUUUAAGGA
rfam:Clostridium sp. CAG:465 genomic scaffold, scf96